rnacentral:rRNA from 1 species
AGAAACUUAAAGGAAGUUGAGGGGGCCCGCGACAAGCGGUGGAGUAUGUGGUUUAAUUCGAUGCAACGCGAAGAACCUUACCUGGUCUUGACAUCCCGGAGACCCUUAGGAAACUAGGGGGUGCUUCCAUCUGGAAGAAUCUGGAGACAGGUGCUGCAUGGCUGUCGUCAGCUCGUGUCGUGAGAUGUUGGGUUAAGUCCCGCAACGAGCGCAACCCUUGCCUUUAGUUGCCAGCAGUUCGGCUGGGCACUCUAAAGGGACUGCCGGUGUUAAACCGGAGGAAGGUGGGGAUGACGUCAAGUCCUCAUGGCCUUUAUGACCAGGGCUACACACGUACUACAAUGGCCGAUACAAAGGGCAGCGACACUGCGAGGUGAAGCCAAUCCCGUAAAAUCGGUCUCAGUCCGGAUUGGAGUCUGCAACUCGACUCCAUGAAGUUGGAAUCGCUAGUAAUCGUGGAUCAGCAUGCCACGGUGAAUACGUUCCCGGGCCUU